UCCCAAUUCAGAGCCCUUCCACUUAAGUGUCAUUUUUUCUUCUUUUUUUCUAAUUUGCACAAAAAUGUUUAAAAAAAAAAAUCAACAUCAAAUUACGUGGGCAACUUUAAAGCACACUCAAGUUUUCUAAUGUGAGCUAAGUUUGUAAGAAAAUUUCGAAAGUAUCAUUCAUUUUAUCUCGAUUGAAUGUGAGUGUUGUAAAACAAUUCACAUUAAAAAAAAAAAAAAAAAACAGUGUCAUAUCUUUUGAGCAACCACUGUUACAGUAAGAAAUCUGUUUAUCGAAUAUCGUCUGUCAACUGGAAUUUCCGUCUAAUGGGGGCGGCACUCCGGGUGAGAUGGGGGAAGCAGCCGUUAGGAGAUGUACAUAUCCAUGAGUGUGUGUAAUUCGAAAAUUUCUCAACAUUUCCGAUUCAUUUGGCAUUCAACAAAUGUGCCAAGAAAUUGUGAUAUAUUUCAACAGCUUAAAGAAGAAGAGGAAGCAUGCAAACUAAAUCCAAUCGCCAUGAAUUUAUGAAUUUGAUGCGUGUUUAUCAGCAAAACAUGCCGCUGGGCCCAGUCCGAGUAACAACACGAGCUAGCAUAACAGUGCCAACAACAAUGGGAAUAAUCGCAGCUACAACAACAAAUGUGCGUGAUAGAACGCGCAGGCAAGUCGAGUCCAAGCUCAGCCAAGGCACAAAGAAGGAGGAAGAAAGCGUGAGUAAGAGCGUGAGUGGGAGCGUGAGUUAGAGUGAGCGCGAUAGUGGUAGCUUCAGCAAGAGCCCCUAGCGCGUGUGAGAGCGUAAAUUAGAGAGCGAGCGUUAGCCUGAGAUACGAGCAAGCACAAACGCAAGCGUGUGUUUUUCUGAUGUGAAGCUCAGAAGCGAACAAGAGCAAACGAGGCGUGAAAAUCACAAACAAAUCGUGAAAAGCGCAACAAGAAGAAACGAGACAACGUGCAAAGUUGUGUGGAACACAAACACACACACACAUAUGCAUAGACAUAUACAAAUGUAUAUGCAAAUCAAGCGAAACAAAAGCGUACGCUGAAGAACGGAUUACGAGAGAGGCGGGAGACAAAUGAUUCAUGGUCGUGUUUAUCAACAAACACGUUUCAUGAGUUGCCUCAGCUGCGCCCAGCUGCCAAAAGGAAGCCAAAUGCUGGCCAUGCAACGGCACACACACUCACGCGCACACACAGAAGCCGAAACCAACUCUGCAAUUUCACGAUGCACGCACACACACUCGUACACCCCAAUACAUAUAGAACACAUACAUAUGUCAUAUGUACGAGUGGGCCUCGACGUUGGGCAAGUGCAGUGGAACUUGACACAUGUUUCAAAUGUCAUUUCGUUUUGUCAUACAUAAAUAUCACGCAUUUUCCUAUAUAUGUACAUAUGUAUGUACCCUGACAAACACAGAUGCAUAAGUGUAUACAUACAAACACAUGAGUGUUCAUCCAGAAAUAUAUAGCAGUCGCUAAUCAAAUGCAGCUGACGUUGUUUGAACUGUAGCCGAGCCCACUGCAGCCUCAAUUCGUGCGUUGUCGUCAUUUGCUGAGCGAGUUUUUAGAGUGGACCUUAUUACAGGGACUAAAAAUUGUUUACAAUUUUAUUAAUUUACAACUUUGUUAAUUUGUAAGUUGCAACACAUUUUGGACACAUAAUUUUCACUGAUUCACUUUGAAAUUUUAAGUGUUAACAUGAAAUUAUAUUUAAUCGCCGUUCGCUGUAUCUAAAAUAUGAGUUUGUUAUUUGUGAAAAAAAAAA